rnacentral:rRNA from 1 species
AUUGAACGCUGGCGGCAGGCCUAACACAUGCAAGUCGAGCGGAUGAAGGGAGCUUGCUCCUGGAUUCAGCGGCGGACGGGUGAGUAAUGCCUAGGAAUCUGCCUGGUAGUGGGGGAUAACGUCCGGAAACGGGCGCUAAUACCGCAUACGUCCUGAGGGAGAAAGUGGGGGAUCUUCGGACCUCACGCUCUCAGAUGAGCCUAGGUCGGAUUAGCUAGUUGGUGGGGUAAAGGCCUACCAAGGCGACGAUCCGUAACUGGUCUGAGAGGAUGAUCAGUCACACUGGAUCUGAGACACGGUCCAGACUCCGACGCGAGGCAGCAGUGGGGAAUAUUGGACAAUGGGCGAAUUCCUGCUCCAGCCAAGCCGCGUGUGUGAAGAAGGUCUUCGGAUUGUAAAGCACUUUAAGUUGGGAGGAAGGGCAGUAAGUUAAUACCUUGCUGUUUUGACGUUACCAACAGAAUAAGCACCGGCUAACUUCGUG